CGGGUGUGUGUCAAAGCCAGGUUCAGAUGGAUGGAUUUCCAGAAGAAUCUAAAUUUGCAGCUUCUCACGCACCAGCUGGCUUGGGGUCCUGCACAGCAGAGCCUGAGUUGAGGAGGGACUUGUCUAGUUGGAUGGGAUUGAAACUGGGGCCUCAUGCACGUCAGACCAGCACUCUACCACUGAGCUCCGCCCAGCCCUCUGUAUCUGGAGUUAAUUGAAAGGCAUGGCAGGAAGGAAUAUUGGAAGAUACACACAAAACCCUCCUUAACUCGCACUCACUCAUCUGUAUGAAUAAGUAAUAGCCUACAACACAAGCAGAAGCAGAAACAAGCUAGAGGCUGCGCCUGGUGCAGGAUGCAGGAUGGAAACUGUCACCCAUAAUCUCUUAUUUCUGUUUUCUCCUCAACAAAACAGGCUUGUUGCCAUCUUAUCUAA